UUACGGCCGUAUCACGUUGGAGCACCGGUUCUCGCACGAUCACCUAAGUUAAGCAACGUCGACCCUGGCCAGUACGCAGAUGGGUGACCACUUGGGAAUACCAUGUGCCGCAAG